UUCUGUUGAGAUUUAAUCUCAACCGUUAGAAUAUAAAUCAAACAUUGAGUACACACUCUGUCUCUGUCACUCGACACUCAGUCACUCUCUCUCGCGGCUCGCCUCAGACUGAAACCCUCACCUCACCAGAAAACGUCUCGCCGAUUUGUCUUUCCGUUUGAAUCCGCCCACACAAGUGACUCACCUGAGACACAUCUCUCUCGGCUAUCACCUCUCUGAUCUCUCUCUCAGUCUCUCUCGACUUCUCAUCCCUCACAGUGGAGGAGCCUUCCUUCACGAAUCACGGCCAUUGGCGCCGCUCUCCUUCUCAGUCUCUCAGUCUCUCUCGAUUCCACUCAUCCAGUGCACUGUGCACCGAUUCUCCCCCAAAUCUGAUACGAUCCAAAUCUCUAGGCCCUUAAUCAACCUGCAAGUAACACAGAGAAGAGAGAUGGAGAGGGAAGGAAGAGAGAGAGCAGAGCUCUUGAAUAUUUUUUUGUUUAUAUUUCUGUUUGUGUAAAUUCUGAUCUGUUUUCAAACCAAAGAGCAGGUGCUCUUAUACACGAAGUGUGACUCCUGCCAGCUGGCAUUUCUAACAAAUUAUCCUAAUAACCAGUAACCCUCAAUUACAACUAUUUUGACUCUUUAAUUAAAGCAUAAGCCUCAAUCACAAAUUGGGUUCAUAACAAUAUUUCCCCCUUGAAAAUUAGCCUUGUCCUCAAGGCUUAAAAAAUAACUGUGGAAACUUGUUUGAAACGAGCAGCAACUAGCAGGGUGGCGGCAGUAGCAAAAUUUUCCUUCAACGCAAUUUCAGCUUUGGUGUUGAAGAUGCUUGUCCUGCUGGCGACAAUAAAGACAAAGUGAAACUGUCCUUGGAACUGGCCAUUAUAUGAACCCUCCUUAGUAAUCUGUUUCCAAGCAUUUUGGUGACUUGGGACAUGCCACUGAUAUUCAGACCUCGAAAUAUCACAGGGAAGAGGAUCCACCUGAAUAUGAGCCCAUGAUGAGUAUCUGUUGAUCACCUUUGCAAGAUACUUAAGAACAUUCUCACGGGCGUCGGCAUUUUUUAGUAGCAAGAGAAUAACUGCAGUAAGGUCAUCAUAUAAGUUGUUCAUGAUUGUCUCAAUUGUGGCAAUUGAAGAUUGCAGAUCAGCUGAUCUACAAGUUGAAGCCUCCUCAAUACCAUCCACCAUCGCAAGUGCACCAUCAGUAAUACGAAGAGCAGAUGUGACCCCCCCAGAUGAAAAAUCAAUGUGCUUGGAUGAAUCAAUGUGAUUGAUAAGGUACUCAUUUUCAUUACUCUUUCCCUUGUAACUCAUCAGAGAUUCAUCAGUCAUCUCAUAGUACAAAGAGUUAUCAUGGAAAAGACCAAGUAUACUAGUUAACUUCAUGCGUGAAAAUACCUUCUCUUCCAUUAACACACUGUAUUCAAAGGUGCCUCAUGAUUUGUACUAAGUACCUUAUUGAGCAUCUCACAUGUGGUACAAAGGUGAAGGCAAGCCGUUGCAUUUUGGAAGACAUCAAUCUUGUACUUUUCUUUGAAUUUUCCUGCAAAGCGGUGGAACCAUGCUUCAUCAAAGCCCCUACCUCUGAAAUUGAAGGAAUCCACAUAAGCAUGCACAACUUUUGGAGGAAAUUCUUCAAACAACCACAAGUACUGCCUCACUGCAUUGACGGUACCACACUGCUGCGCAGUUUCAGCCACAAAUUGUAGCGCCUCUUUUUUCCUAGAUUUCCCACACUCCUUGGAAUGUAUUCCAUGAAAUAAGAAAAGUAAGAUUGAAGAUGUUGUUGUUCCAUUCUCCUGAAAAAGAAGCUUGACCUCAAUCUCUAAAUUUGGGGAACUUGUGAGAUUGUUGGUAACCAUGAAAAUGACUUUCUUGAAGUAAGAGGUCUGUGCAAUCAGUGAUUUCCUUGGAUUAAGUGGCAAGGCAUCAGAUAAGUAGGUGUCAUCAGAAAAAUGUUGAUCCACCUCUGCCAAAUAUAACAUCUCUUCGACCAUGAAACAAUGAUCUUCAAACAAAAUGGCCCAAGUCCUGAUAUCAAACACAUUUUCAUUUGUAGUUCCCUCUCUUAUAACAAUACCCACACUAGCCUUUCCUACACUCAAUAGCUCCAAGAGGAAUUGUAAUACUAUAGUAUCUAGUGCAGCAUCACAGAAUAAUAUGGCAAUUUCCCAUGCAUUAUCAUGCUCAAUAACCAAGGGUAGGCAAAGAACAAUAGGAAGCAAUUUAUGGAAAUUGCAAGGGAAUAACUCUGCCUUGAUUUUGAGAAGAUCAUUUAUGUGUUUACAGCUGAGAAUUGCAAGCAUGUCCUGUUCUUGUCCGACAUGUCCACCUUUAAGCCCUUUCAAGUUGGCAGAUUCUUCCAAGAGCCUGAUAAUGGAUGUAACAAACCCGAAAGCCUUUCUCUUCCCCUUUUCUUCUACUACCGUGAAAGAGAGAAUGCAGGGCUUCUCCAUCAACCAUUUUUUAUUAUUCCUCUUAUUGAAGAAAACUCUUUGAUAAGAUAUAUUGUCACAAGGAUCAUUGAGCUUGUGACACCAACCCGGUUGCUGGAAAAUCUGGUCAUGCUCCACGCAAUUAGGAAAAGAAACAGCAUCAAGGUGUACAUCAACCCUAUUACAAAAUUCCUUAUUCAAUUUCAAUAAUAAGCUGGUGAAAAUAGAAUAGUGAAGCUGGGAAAUGGCCAUGACUGUCAACGCACAGAUGUGUAACAAUGAUAAGCAGAGGAACUGCUUGAUAACAUGGAUAUGACCCAAGGUCCCAUUCUCCUUAGUGAAACUAGCGACAAGAUCUUUAGGCCAAGACCGAUAUACAAGUACAACAAUAUCCAAAGCUUCCAAGUUGCUACUGAAUGACAUAUUCUCCAUAUUAUGCCUCUCAAACAUUUCAUCAAACAGAUGCAAUGCAUAGAAAUUCUUCAUCACAAAUUUACCCACAAGGUACCAAUUACCCCAUCCACAUUUAGCAGUUAAGAAGUCUUCAUACAUUAUCACAAUAACACCAGUAUAAUAUGCCAGAAUAAGCUGCAAAACCCAAUACCAUUUGUCCUUCCGAUUUGUAAAAUUGGAAAGCAAGGAUGUCAAUACCUCGUGUCGACGCUUUGUGGUGUUUGUAUGCGUUAAGGGCAGCAUAUAAAGACAUAUAGUCUGUGGGUUGAAGCUCCAGUAAUCUCCAUACUCCUCAAGGUUGAUGGAGUCACUGACGUUUUGGUCUGCAAGUAGAAAAGGGACUGCAAUUUUGGUGGUUCCUGUGUUCCUCAGAGGAGACACAAAACCUUGCACACUGGUGUGAAUUGUCGAUGCCAACGUAUCGUUCGAGUUCAACUGUGGCUUGACGGACGGAGCUGCGAUUUCUCGCAACAAUGGUGAUGACGAAAACAACGGCGGAACGGAAUGGACUUCGAUUGGAGAUGGAAGUCUCGGCGGAGUAUCGUCUCCUAGAAGUCCGGGAUGACCGAGAGCGAUUGAUUGCGUGUCAUCGGAAGUAGUCGGGACUGCAUCAGAAACUCCCUCCGCUCUGAGAGCCGAGUCGCGGCAGAGCAAGGCCCAAUCACGGCUGAAAUUCGUCGUGAAAUUUGUGAAUGCAGAAUCCAAAGCUUCGCGGAGUGCAUCACGGAGCGCAGCACGCAGCGAAGCUUCAAAGGAGUCGAUUGCAGCGGAGAGGCGUGCAUCCAUUGCAGGAAGACGGUUCGGGUGGGCGUCCACAGGAGGGAAACCAGGAUUCGAGAAGGAUGAUACCAUUGAUACGAUCCAAAUCUCUAGGCCCUUAAUCAACCUGCAAGUAACACAGAGAAGAGAGAUGGAGAGGGAAGGAAGAGAGAGAGCAGAGCUCUUGAAUAUUUUUUUGUUUAUAUUUCUGUUUGUGUAAAUUCUGAUCUGUUUUCAAACCAAAGAGCAGGUGCUCUUAUACACGAAGUGUGACUCCUGCCAGCUGGCAUUUCUAACAAAUUAUCCUAAUAACCAGUAACCCUCAAUUACAACUAUUUUGACUCUUUAAUUAAAGCAUAAGCCUCAAUCACAAAUUGGGUUCAUAACAAAAUCAGGUAAAUUUUGGAAUUCGAGAAUAGGGUUUGUGAAAUUUAGCACUUGGAAGAUAGAGUAUAUUGCAUACUGAGGGUUUAGGGGUUGAAUUGGUGGUUGGAAUUCAAGAUUAGGGUUUCUCUUCUGUCACAGACUCACAAUUGAAGCAUAAAUUUGUUACGGGUUGAUUAUUCAUAGUUCAUAGUUGUAGCAAAAUUGCAGCUACUGAAAUGAAUUUUGAGAGUUGGUGUCAAUUGAUGAAUGGAGUUCAAAAUUAAUCGUGGGGUUUUGGGAUGUUUGUAAUGCCGCACCAUAAAUGUAUUUACACUUUGUUUAGUGGUUCAUUUAGAUGUGUUUUUGAGUACUAAUUACUAUAUGAGUGCUGAACCACAACCACUAGCGUAAUUACCUGUUCAUGGUAUGCAAAUCUUGUUAGAAACUUGGAAGACUAAUGCCAAAACUUGUGAUCAUGUUAAACCGUGUUCAUAUAAUUAAUAUAUAUGAAGAUGUUGAACUGAUGAACUGUUAAAUACCCACAUAAUUGCACAUCAUUAGAUCUUCAAUUGCAAUGCUAGAUCAUAUAUCUUUCCUAAGUUGUUUUGUUGUUAUUUUUGACCAUGCAGAAUUGGGAGUCUGGUAGAAAACGUCUCUGCCUCAUCAAAUUCAACACUUCACUUCUUUUAAGUGCUUUACGUCUCGACUAUUUGAGGAAGUGGUGGCUUUACCAGAGUGGUUGGGGAGCAUUACACUCCCUAUAUAAACAGUACAGUAUAAAAAUACAUUCAUAGGAUGUUGUUAUUGCAUUUUGUUUACUCUAUAGUAUCUAUUUGUAACAUUAGAAUGUUUUUGUGAUAAUAGUAGUUCUUAUUUUGCUUAAAAAGUAUUUGUUUCUUACUGAAAAUAUAUACACUGGUUGCAACAGUUGCUUUGAUAUUUGAAGUACAAAGAAGUGCUUGGUCAGAAGCGAGAAAGGAGGAAGCACGAUUGUGGCAAUACAGUCAAUGUGUCAAUAUGCAUUUGCAUUUGUAUGCUAAUGGAGUUGAAAGAAAAUGGUAACUCUUUAUUCUGGUAUUGAACUAUCUGAGCAAACUGCCAUCUUUGUUUCAUUUUCAUUAGUGUGGUGAAAGAAAAACAUCUUAAAUUUGUGAGCAAACUUCUGCAUGCUAGUAUUUGUAAGUACGUAUUUGCUCUAUUCUGCCUUCUUGAAGUUCAUGUUGCCACUAAAAAUCACAAACGAAAAAAAGGGUCUUUUUUUUCCUUCACGAAACAAGUCUUUUUUAUUUUUUUAUCCCUUAAUUUAUUUUAAUUUGUCUUAUGCUCCUAAGAUGCUGGUUCGGCCACCAGCCCUCUUUGCUCUCUAUGUAAGAUCUUGUGGCCCACUCACCUCCUGACCCUAGUAUUUAACCCAAAAUUCCCGUCCUUUUUAUUUUUUCAGUAUUUUUGGCCCAAUUGUUUUUUAUUGUUUUCACUAAAAAAAAACCUGUUAAAAUCCUUCCCCCUCUUUCCCUCCUCUUAAUUCCCUCCUACCAAAUUGAUAGCCGUUCACAUCUCUAUUCGGGGAUGUAGACUGUCAUUCAAUUCCAUUUUCUGAUUCUCUGAGCAGGUAUUUUCUCCUCUUUUAACUCUUGUGUUUCAUAAAUGGCUUUUUCGAUCCGUUUAGCUUCUUGUAUUUGCUUACUGAUUCCGUUUGGCUUUCUUGUAUUUGCUUACUGAUUCUGUAAAAAUGUCUUUUUUAUUUCAGUGAUUUUCCUUCAGUCUUUCUCUUUUGUUUCUCACUAUGUUUUUUGUUUCG
rnacentral:lncRNA from 1 species